UACAGAGGGUGCAAGCGUUGUUCGGAAUUACUGGGCGUAAAGGGCGCGUAGGCGGCCUGCUAAGUCGAACGUGAAAUCCCCGGGCUCAACCCGGGAACUGCGUCCGAUACUGGCAGGCUUGAAUCCGGGAGAGGGAUGUGGAAUUCCAGGUGUAGCGGUGAAAUGCGUAGAUAUCUGGAGGAACACCGGUGGCGAAGGCGGCAUCCUGGACCGGUAUUGACGCUGAUGCGCGAAAGCCAGGGGAGCAAACGGG
rnacentral:rRNA from 1 species